GGCUGUCUGUUGUCCUUUCCUGCCUUAGACCUGUCGGAGAUUGUGUAGCGCUCGCUGACGCGACCGUCGGUUCUGUUGUUUGGAGGAGCCCGCGGACUAUAGAGACGUUCAGUCCGCGCUGUGUUGCUGUUUCGCCAGUAAAAUAAGAUGUUUCUCGGCGGAAGAGCGGCGUCUACAGGCCGCGGCCGAGCACGUGUCGCGGACGGAGGCGCGCGGGAGCUCGACCACGGCUAACCCGCUGCCCUCCCGGCUGAGCCCCGCGUCAGCGCUCGGGUGGGUCAAAGGUCAAGCCAAGCGUCUCAUUUGACCCCGCUGUUGUGUUGGUCACCGUCCGAGCUCCACCGAUGGUCUCUGGUUUCCUGACCGCUGCAGACAUGAGUUGCUGCCCAGCCUCCAGCUGAUGCUCAGCCUCCACGUGACUCCAUCUUCCCACUGGCUGCUGGCGUCUCCUGCGGGUCACGGCACGUGUGACCCCCGCCCUCUGGCCGGAAGCCUUGGUGUCGCUCCAGGAGCGUCUCCCUGGGACUCCUCCUGGCAGGCGGCGACUCGGUCGCAGGGGUCGGCGUCUCGGCGCAGCUCUCUGAGGACCAGAGCCUUCCAGGGGGAGACCUGCUGUGUUUGUUGACAUCAAAUGAACACUGUUCUAUAAAAGCCUUUUGGAACAUCAA